UACGUAGGGUGCAAGCGUUAAUCGGAAUUACUGGGCGUAAAGCGUGCGCAGGCGGUUGUGCAAGACAGAGGUGAAAUCCCCGGGCUUAACCUGGGAAUGGCCUUUGUGACUGCACGGCUAGAGUGUGUCAGAGGGGGGUAGAAUUCCACGUGUAGCAGUGAAAUGCGUAGAGAUGUGGAGGAAUACCGAUGGCGAAGGCAGCCCCCUGGGAUAACACUGACGCUCAUGCACGAAAGCGUGGGGAGCAAACGGG
rnacentral:rRNA from 1 species